UUUCCACAGGGAAGGCCCUACAUCAUCUGCUACCCUGAAAGAUCUGGAGAGCCCGUGCCAAGAACAAGCAGUAGUCCUGGAUUCAAGGUCCGUAGAAAUCGGUCAACUGAAGAACACCAUCAAAUCUUUGAAACAACAGAAGAAACAAGUGGAACAUCAGCUGGAAGAAGUAACGUGAUUUCGUUUCCUUGCAACAUGACUGCUGGGUUUGGGGGGCACUCAGACAUACAGGCCCCAGUCUCGUCUCACCCACUCCCAGCCUGGGGAAGAAGGCUCACCCUUCAGAUUCCACCCCAUCCCCACAGGGCCCCUGAUAACCUGGUCCCAUGGGUGGGCCUGUCCUGGGGCAUUGGUUGCAUUCUGGGGGCAUGUCUCUUGCUGUGCCAUCUCUGCCUCCCCCUGGUAAGAGCUCUGUCUUCCUCUUCCUACAGGAAAAGAAAGCAAACAACAAGAAACAGAAAGCCAAAAGGGUGCUAGAGGUUCAAAUCCAGACAUUGAACAUACAGAAAGAGGAACUAAAUACAGACCUGUACCACAUGAAACGUUCUCUCAGAUACUUUGAAGAAAAGUCCAAGGAUCUGGCUGUCCGCCUGCAACAUUCAUUGCAGCGUAAAGGAGAGUUAGAGAGUGUUCUCUCUGAUGUCAUGGCCACACAGAAGAAGAAGGCAAACCAGCAGUUGUCCGGCCCCAGUAAAGCACGUACGGAGUGGAAGUUAGAGCAGUCCAUGCGGGAGGAGGCACUGCUGAAAGCGCAGCUGACACAGUUGAAGGAGUCAUUUCAACAACUCCAAUUAGAAAGACAUGAGUAUGCUGAACAUCUAAAAGGAGAGAGGGCCCGGUGGCAGCAGAGGAUGAGAAAAAUGUCGCAGGAGAUUUGCACAUUAAAGAAAGAGAAGCAGCAAGAUAUGCGUCGGGUAGAGAAGCUGGAGAGGAGCUUGUCCAAACUCAAAAACCAGAUGGCUGAACCCUUGCCCCCGGAGCCCCCAGCAGUGCCCUCUGAGGUGGAGCUGCAGCACCUGAGGAAGGAACUAGAGAGAGUGGCAGGAGAGCUCCAGGCACAGGUCAAAAACAAUCAGCACAUGAGUCUCCUGAACCGGCAACAAGAAGAGAGGAUUCAGGAGCAGGAAGACAGGCUUUGGAAGCAGGAGGAGAGGCUUCAGGAGCAGCACGAGAAGCUUCAGCAGCUGGCCAAGCCACAGAGCGUCUUCGAGGAGCCGAACAAUGAGAACAAGAGCGCACUGCAGUUGGAGCAGCAAGUAAAGGAGCUACAGGAGAAGCUUGGUGAGGAGCACCUGGAAGCGGCCAGCCAGCAGAACCAGCAGCUAACAGCCCAGCUUAGCCUCAUGGCUCUCCCUGGGGAAGAGCAGCUUUAUGGAUCACCUGGAGGAGAAGGCUGACCUGAGUGAGCUGGUGAAGAAAAAAGAACUUUGCUUCAUCCGCCACUGGCGAGAGAGAUGCCAUCAGAAAAUCCAUCACCUUUUAUCAGAACCAGGGGGCCGUGCCAAAGAUGCGGCACUGGGAGGAGGACACCAUCAGGCUGGAGCUCAGGGAGGAGAUGAAGGUGAAGCUGCUGGAGCUGCAGCAGAUGGUAUUGCGGCUUACAGCAACUACAACAAUGGGCACAGAAAAUUCCUGGCCGCUGCCCACAACCCUGCUGAUGAGCCCGGUCCAGGAGCCCCAGCUCCCCAGGAGCUUGGGGCUGCAGACAAGCAUGGUGAUCUUUGUGAGGUGAGCCUCACCUCCUCUGCCCAAGGAGAGGCCAGGGAGGAUCCUCUCCUUGACAAGCCUACUGCACAGCCCAUCGUGCAGGACCACCAGGAGCACCCAGGCUUGGGCAGCAACUGCUGUGUGCCGUUCUUUCGCUGGGCUCGGCUGCCAAGAAGAAGGAGAUAAACAUCACCAUCAUCAAAGAGCUGCUCAAGAAAUUUUUAAAUAAGAAACCAAGUUAUGGGGUUAAUCUCCUACACAAUUCAUUUACUUCCUUUGAAUGUUAGUCACUCAUGAUUAUUUGUGUUUCUAAUUUAUAGUUUUAAGUUUAUUUGUAAAAAGUUAAAAGAGAGUGGGUGUCUGUGGCUCUCACUGAUGUUCACUCUGGCAUCCUUUAGCAUUUUUCUUUUUUAAUUUCAUAAUUGUAGGUCAUUAGCAUGCAUAUCGAGUUCACCCUUACGUGGUGGGAGUUCAAACACACAAAGACCCACUCUUUGCCCAAAACUGUUCUCUUUGGUUUGGAAUAGGCUGCCAUGCUUUUUAAAUGUUAUUGCAGCAUGUAUAUUCACUACAGAAUUCAGACAAAAUUUGCCUAUGUUCUGCUGUUGUUUGAUCUAAUCUUAAUCACAGUGAGCUCUUCGUUAGCUCAAUAUGUAGUUUGCCCCCAAGUGUGCACUGUUUAUUACUUUGUAAUAUGCCACUAUGAGUACUGACAUUUAGAGUUGUUUAAAGGCCAAGAACUGGAAAUAGCCUUUCCUCCAUUUUCUGUGUAUUGGUGAUGGGAGUGAAACCUUUUGGGGGAGCUUUUUAAAUCUCACAGAAGAGGAAAGUGGCCUCCUCUGGCAGGUAUGUGCAGGAUAGAAUGUGUUUCAUCUGUUCCGGUGCCAGGAAUUAGCGGUGUAUUAUGGUGGUUCCCUUAGGAUUUGUAUGUGCUCUGGGCUCAUGAAGAUACUGCAUCAUGAGCUGCAGCAGUUGCACUCUUUUUCGAUGACCUAAAAAGGGCUUAUUUCUGAGGAAUGAAAGGUUCCCAUCGUUGACUGUGGAUGUGGAAAGCCUUUCCUAGCUUAGAGCAUUUGUAUCUACAAUACAUUUUAAAGUCAGAGUUCAUGUUACCUGUUUUAAUCACAUGACUACAUGCCCCAGUACACAAAAGGGCACUGGUUGGCAUUCUUCUUAAUGUAUUUAGUGAAGAUCAUAAGAAAUCCUUUACGAGUUCAAACAUCCCUGGAACAGGCAUACAGGCUCUAGUCAAGAAUGAAUUAGAGUGAAGGAAAGCUGUGUGACACCUGGCAUUCCUCUCUGUUCACGGAGAUUCUUUGAGGCUUGAAGAUUGAUUUUACCAUCUAGACCUCUUUGGCUAAUACCUAUUCUUCAACCACCUUGGUUACUCUGACAUAGGAAUUUACUUCUUUUUCCUUGAAUGGAAAACACUUUAAAAAAUAAUAGAAACAUUAUUAUAAACUAAUAUAUGUGAGAUAGUUGAAACAAAAAGGAGUUUUAGUAGACGGUAUUGUACUCUCUUUGAAAAUCAAGGAGAAGUUUAUGAAACUUAAAAUGUGUACAAACUGCAGUGCAAUCUACUGUUCGUGAAUGUCAAUGUAUUAUCAGGAAACGUGUCUAUACAAUCACAGAGUUAUAUUUUCUCACAGACUUCUUUACAAAGUGAAAUACGUUUUUGUACCUCUGGGUUUCUGUUCGGGACAUAUUUUGUGCAAUAUUUAUGUGAUUGUGCCUAUGCAUGAUGAAUGAAUGCCUUUCAGUUAUAUAUUGCCUAAAUUGUAACUUGAUGAUGCUUGGGAAAGACUCAACAGUUAAAACUUCAUGAAGUUCUAAUGUCUGUGUUCCAAAACACAUCACAUUGUUAGGAUGCAGGGAGAUAGGUGUGUGUGCUCCCUGCGGUGGGGAUUUCUAGUUACUAGAUCAUCUCCAUUUUUAGCAUUUGGCAUCCUCAUGAUACUUCUAUAAAUAUGACAUUAACAGGAGAGCAACAAUACGAUUUUACCG
rnacentral:sRNA from 1 species